GGUAUUUGCAGACACAGGAAGGGAGCAGCUGGAUGCGGUGGGUGCUGGGAAGAAGGAGACAGGAGAAGAAAACCCAGAGACUGGGGGCGGGGUUCUGGCACAGAGCAGAUUCUGCUGCUGCCUCCGUGUGACUCGGGGCCCGGGCUGAGCAGCUGCUGCUUCCCAGGGUCUGUGCAGGGGACAUCCCGGCAUUAAAGCUCUUUCCCUGCCAGGCCAGGCGGCCUGGGCCGUUCUCCAGGGGAACCAGCCUCCUGGAGCCCCGGACUCUGCCACCAUCAGCUCCAGGGCCAGAGACUCCAGACCUUCCAUUCUCCUGUUAAAGAAGCACCCCCCAGUGAUCCUCUGCCUGUGUGACUGGCCAGCAGGGGGCAGUGAUAACUUUCUAUCAUCAGGCACUGUGAGCUUAUACCAGAAUCCUGGCUCCAAGCACUUCCUGGCAUUCCCCGGCGAGGCCCAGUCACCGUGAUAACUUUCUAUCCACUUAUGAAACACGGCUGCAGAAUGAUGUCCAUGUUCCGCUCCAGCUCAUCCCA